rnacentral:tRNA from 1 species
GCUGGAGUGGCACAGUUGGUAGCGCAGCUGAUUCGUAAUCAGCAGGUCGUGGGUUCGAGUCCCAUCUCCAGCUCCA